rnacentral:rRNA from 1 species
UACGGGGGGGGCAAGCGUUGUUCGGAAUUACUGGGCGUAAAGGGCUCGUAGGUUGCCAACUAAGUCAGACGUGAAAUCCCUCAGCUUAACUGGGGAACUGCGUCUGAUACUGGAUGGCUUGAGUUUGGGAGAGGGAUGCGGAAUUCCAGGUGUAGCGGUGAAAUGCGUAGAUAUCGAGAGGAACACCUGCGGCGAAGGCGGGUUGCUGGGCCGACACUGACGCUGAUGCGCGAAAGCCAGGGGAGCGAACGGG